AUUGAACGCUGGCGGCAUGCCUUACACAUGCAAGUCGAACGGCAGCACGGAGCUUGCUCUGGUGGCGAGUGGCGAACGGGUGAGUAAUAUAUCGGAACGUACCCAAGAGUGGGGGAUAACGUAGCGAAAGUUACGCUAAUACCGCAUACGAUCUAAGGAUGAAAGCAGGGGACCGCAAGGCCUUGUGCUCCUGGAGCGGCCGAUAUCUGAUUAGCUAGUUGGUGAGGUAAAGGCCCACCAAGGCAUCGAUCAGUAGCUGGUCUGAGAGGACGACCAGCCACACUGGAACUGAGACACGGUCCAGACUCCUACGGGAGGCAGCAGUGGGGAAUUUUGGACAAUGGGGGCAACCCUGAUCCAGCAAUGCCGCGUGAGUGAAGAAGGCCUUCGGGUUGUAAAGCUCUUUUGUCAGGGAAGAAACGGUCGUGGCUAAUAUCCAUGGCUAAUGACGGUACCUGAAGAAUAAGCACCGGCUAACUACGUGCCAGCAGCCGCCGUAACAC
rnacentral:rRNA from 1 species